rnacentral:rRNA from 1 species
GACGAACGCUGGCGGCGUGCCUAAUACAUGUAAGUAGAACGCUGAAGGAGGAGCUUGCUUCUCUGGAUGAGUUGCGAACGGGUGAGUAACGCGUAGGUAACCUGCCUGGUAGCGGGGGAUAACUAUUGGAAACGAUAGCUAAUACCGCAUAAGAGUAGAUGUUGCAUGACAUUUACUUAAAAGGUGCAAUUGCAUCACUACCAGAUGGACCUGCGUUGUAUUAGCUAGUUGGUGAGGUAACGGCUCACCAAGGCAACGAUACAUAGCCGACCUGAGAGGGUGAUCGGUCACACUGGGACUGAGACACGGCCCAGACUCCUACGGGAGGCAGCAGUAGGGAAUCUUCGGCAAUGGACGGAAGUCUGACCGAGCAACGCCGCGUGAGUGAAGAAGGUUUUCGGAUCGUAAAGCUCUGUUGUAAGAGAAGAACGAGUGUGAGAGUGGAAAGUUCACACUGUGACGGUAUCUUACCAGAAAGGGACGGCUAACUACGUG